rnacentral:rRNA from 1 species
AUGCCAUUUCGACUCUCAAAUGCACCAAGUACUUUUAUGUUCUUGAUGAAUCAAGUCCUUCGACCCCUCUUGUCUCACUUUGUUGUGGUCUAUUUCGAUGACAUUUUGAUCUAUAGCAAGGAUGAGGAUGAACACUUUGAUCACAUUCAGAAGGUGCUAGAAGUACUAAGGGAAAAUGAUCUCUACGUCAACUUGAAGAGAUGUGUUUUCCUGCAAACACAACUUCUUUUCCUAGGAUUCGCCAUAACAUGUGACGGUAUUCGUGUUAAUGGUUCUAACGUUGAAGCAAUCCAAGAAUGGUCAACUUCGAAGACCAUUUCUGAGGUAAGAAGUUUUCAUGGCCUUGCAACUUUCUAUAGGCGAUUUGUGAAGAAUUUCAGCACUAUCAUGGCACCAAUUAUCGAGUGUUUGAAGAAAGGAAAGUUCCAAUGGACAGAAGCAGCUGAAGCUAGUUUCAAUGAGAUUAAACAAAAACUAUCACAAGCUCAUGUCUUGUUGCUACCUGAUUUCAACAAGACUUUUGAGUUGGAGCAUGAUGCAAGUGAAGUAGGCAUUGGAGAUGUCCUAUCUCAAGAAAGGAAGCCCAUUGCUUUCUUUAGUGAGAAGUUAAGUGAAGCUAGACAGAAAUGGAGUACCUAUCAACAAGAAUUAUAUGCCAUUUUCAGAGCGUUGAAAACUUGGGAGGUCUAUUUGCUGCCUAAAGGGUUCAUUAUUUAUAGCGACCAUCAAUCCUUGAAGCAUUUUAGAAAUCAAAAGCAUGUUGACCGCAUGCUAGCAAGAUGGGCAGCAUAUCUGGAGAGGUUUAACUAUCUCAUCGUGCAUAAAUCUGGAAUAACUAACAAAGUGGCCAAUGCUUUGAGUCGUCGUGCAUGCCUGUUGACUUCUUUUGAAGCUGAACUUCUGGGCAUGGAUCAAAUAAAGGAGUUGUAUGAGGGUGACAAAGACUUUGGCCAUGUUUGGGUAAAGCACGCAAGGGGCCAACCAUUAGGUGAUGACUAUUUGAUGCAAGAUGGAUAUCUCUUAAAAAAUGAUCGUUUGUGCAUUCCAAGAAGUUCUCUACGUGACAAGUGGGUUAGAGAGCUCCAUUCAAGUGAUCUUAGUGGCCAUGUUGGACGGGACAAGACUAUCGCUAGCCUGGAAGCUCGCUACUUUUGGCCACAACUAAAGAGAGAUGCUGGAAAGUUUGUUCAGCGAUGCCCUUUAUGUCAAACCUGA